rnacentral:lncRNA from 1 species
AUGUUUUUUUAUUUGUGUUUUGGAAAACAUUUGGAAGACAGAACAUGAAAGAGUCAUGUCUCUUUUGUCACAGUACAUUUUCUUCUAAAGAAUGUCAUCCUCUCCUGCAUCGUGUUUCCAAUCUGAUGUAAAAAAGUAACUCAGCAUUUCUUAAUCAUCACCCUUGCCUCUGCUGUUAUGGAAAGAGUCCCUGAAAAAUUCAAUAGGAGACAUCUUUAUAGAGAUACAGCUGCUCAUCUCAUAAUCUCCCUAGUAAGCUGGAUUUACACUCCACAAAAGAUUCAGCCUUUGACUAGGGAUUCCUUUCUCCAAAACUAUAUGGGAAUGAAAAACUUCUUAACUAGGAAUUAAAUUGAAGUACCAAGUGAUGUGUUGCAGAUUUGGAGCACAUGCAGAUGAAAAAUAGCCUAUAUGGCUUUUGGAUCUAAUGCAUAACUCCUAAGCUGCAGAAGACUAUCGUGAAAAGGUUGGUACACUGAAAGAUUAAUUAUAAUCUGACUUUACAGGACAGAUACCUUUUCUUAGUUCAAAUCUCACAUGAUUCGAUUCACCCUUUUCUAUGUAUCUAAUUAAAAUAAU